rnacentral:rRNA from 1 species
GACGAACGCUAGCGGCAGGCUUAAUACAUGCAAGUCGUGGGGCAGCAGGUUUGUAGCAAUACAGAUGCUGGCGACCGGCAAACGGGUGCGGAACACGUACGCAACCUCCCUCCUUCUGGAAGAUAGCCCACCGAAAGGUGGAUUAAUACUCCAUAAUAUAUUGAAGUGGCAUCACUUUAAUAUUAAAGCUCCGGCGGAAAGAGAUGGGCGUGCGUCUGAUUAGGUAGUUGGCGGGGUAACGGCCCACCAAGCCUGCGAUCAGUAGCUGAUGUGAGAGCAUGAUCAGCCACACGGGCACUGAGACACGGGCCCGACUCCUACGGGAGGCAGCAGUAAGGAAUAUUGGUCAAUGGACGCAAGUCUGAACCAGCCAUGCCGCGUGGAGGAUGAAGGCCCUCUGGGUUGUAAACUUCUUUUCUCUGGGACGAAACCCCCGAUUUCCAUCGGGCCUGACGGUACCAGAGGAAUAAGCACCGGCUAACUCCGUGCCAGCAGCCGCGGUAAUACGGAGGGUGCAAGCGUUAUCCGGAUUCACUGGGUUUAAAGGGUGCGUAGGUGGGCAAGUAAGUCAGUGGUGAAAUCCCUGGGCUUAACCCGGAAACUGCCAUUGAUACUAUUUGUCUUGAAUUCUCUGGAGGUAAGCGGAAUAUGUCAU